rnacentral:miRNA from 1 species
GAAGAAAUCUAAGGUCUGAGG